rnacentral:rRNA from 1 species
AUUGAACGCUGGCGGCAGGCCUAACACAUGCAAGUCGAGCGGAUGAAGGGAGCUUGCUCCUGGAUUCAGCGGCGGACGGGUGAGUAAUGCCUAGGAAUCUGCCUGGUAGUGGGGGAUAACGUCCGGAAACGGGCGCUAAUACCGCAUACGUCCUGAGGGAGAAAGUGGGGGAUCUUCGGACCUCACGCUAUCAGAUGAGCCUAGGUCGGAUUAGCUAGUUGGUGGGGUAAAGGCCUACCAAGGCGACGAUCCGUAACUGGUCUGAGAGGAUGAUCAGUCACACUGGAACUGAGACACGGUCCAGACUCCUACGGGAGGCAGCAGUGGGGAAUAUUGGACACUGGGCGAAAGCCUGCUCCAGCCAUGCCGCGUGUGUGAAGAAGGUCUUCGGAUUGUAAAGCACUUUAAGUUGGGAGGAAGGGCAGUAAGUUAAUACCUGGCUGUUUUGACGUUACCAACAGAAUAAGCACCGGCUAACUUCGU